rnacentral:lncRNA from 1 species
AUUCAUUAUUUUAAUUCACAGUGUAUGGAAACGAUUCCAUAAGCAUCACCGUGGUGAUUUCAAAUAAAAACUUACAUUCAGUACAACGUUCCCGGUAUGUAUGAAGUUUGCACAUUUUGUACAUUCUAUAACACGAAUAUUUUACAACUUAUUUUUUUCCACUAAAGUGCUUAAGAUAGGAACAAGGGAAUAAUUUAUGUGGAUACUACAUCUGUGAGCACAUGUACCAUUUCGUGAGGGACAAGGUGAUAUCGCACAAUAUAACUGUAUAUAAAAUAAACCUAUUAAUAAUUAAUCAUUUUCUAGCUCCUUAUAUUUAAUUGUUGGUGUAACAUUCACAUCUUUCCAAAUUACAUAUGAUGCAUAUUAGAUAAAAACUCUUGGAGAAGGAGAGGCUUUUGGCAAUCCAAAAGCUCUUAUAGGAUUUCUGGUGGACAAGGUGAUAAAUCCCAAUGGAGAAUUUUAUUACAAUGGACAUUUAAUAGCUAACCCAUGCAACACCAC